UACGUAGGUGGCAAGCGUUGUUCGGAAUUACUGGGCGUAAAGCGCGCGUAGGCGGCUCUUCAAGUCAGGCGUGAAAGCCCCGGGCUUAACUCGGGAACUGCGCUUGAUACUGUCGAGCUAGAGUGUGGAAGGGGCGAUUGGAAUUCCGUGUGUAGCGGUGAAAUGCGUAGAUAUACGGAGGAACACCAGUGGCGAAGGCGGCUCACUGGCCCGGUACUGACGCUGAGGUGCGAAAGCGUGGGGAGCAAACAGG
rnacentral:rRNA from 1 species